AACGAACGCUGGCGGCAUGCCUAACACAUGCAAGUCGAACGAGACCUUCGGGUCUAGUGGCGCACGGGUGCGUAACGCGUGGGAACCUGCCCUUAGGUUCGGAAUAACUCCCCGAAAGGGGUGCUAAUACCGGAUAAUGUCUUCGGACCAAAGAUUUAUCGCCUUUGGAUGGGCCUGCGUUGGAUUAGCUAGUUGGUAGGGUAAAAGCCUACCAAGGCGGCGAUCCAUAGCUGGUCUGAGAGGAUGAUCAGCCACACUGGGACUGGGACACGGCCCAGACCCUAGGGGGGGGGGGGAGGGGGGAAAAUAGGACAAGGGGCGAGAGCCGGAACCCCCAAGACCGGGAAGGUGAUGAAGGCGUUAGGAUUGGAAGUCUCUUUUCCCCGGGAUGUAAUGACGGGAACCGGGAAAAAAGCCCCGGCUAAACUCGUG
rnacentral:rRNA from 1 species